rnacentral:tRNA from 1 species
CGGGGCGUAGCGCAACCUGGUAGCGCACUUGCAUGGGGUGCAAGGGGUCGAGUGUUCGAAUCACUCCGUCCCGACCA